UCUAGAAAUCCAGUCCUGUGGUUUGCAGGUUGAUCUGACUGCAACACGAGAAUGUAAAAACUUGUUGUAGAAACCUUAGCUGUGGGCUGGAGAACUGAUUCCAGAGAGGACAAAGUUGGUCCCAGCAAGGCAGGAAGUGUAGAGUAUUUUAUAUAAGCUGAGCUGUCAGCUCGCAGCGUGGCCGACUAUCGUUACCCCCCCGUCCACCCCCGUCUUUUUCCCAGACAAUCCACUUGCUUGUACUUUUCCAUGGCUGGUGGUUUCUAUGGCAACAAAAGGGGAGGAGGAGGAGGAGGAUGAGGCAGGGGCUUGACAGAGUACUGUCAAGCAGACAGCACAGGGGCGGCUGGGAUCCUCACAAGUUACUGUCAGCUGGAGUCAUCAAACAUGUGGCCAGCAGUUGUUCAUCCCCAGCGCACAUCACAGCAUGCAGAGGACUGGGUGCCACAUUGUCCAAACAUGUGUGGUCUGCAUGUGAGUGAGUGUGGAACCUGACCUCUUGCAAAAUGUGCGAAAACCACAUCCAACACCUCAUUCCACAUUAGAAUAAAAAUGACUUGAAUGAA